CCUCGCAGACCGCUUCGCAACGCCAUCGUUAAACCAUAUGAGCGAGCAAUAAAAACCCCACACUUGCAGUCAAUCGAUUUACCUCUAAUGAAUAUUGUAAUAGCCGUUCAAUUUAUGUAACAUUGUGCUUACCGGCAUUGUUGGACACCACAGUCAGAUCUUUAACCCCCUUCUUCACGCAUGCUGCAAUUAGAUUUUCCGGGAUUCCGCAUAGACCAAAGCCGCCCACGAGAAGCUUGGCGCCGUUCGGUAUAUCGUCAAUGGCCUCGUCUGCACUAUUAUAGAUUUUGGAUCGCUUUUUGGUGGAGUAACGGCAGGACAAAAUCUACACGGGAAAUCAAUGGAAGAAAAAGAUGUUAGGUUUGCCUGGAGGCGUGUUGAUAUGCAGUGACGGGACGUAAGACGAGGGCUCGACAAAUUUGUUUUUGUUAUUCAAUCAAGUAGUGUGCGCUUAGUUGCACUCAGAGAGGCCGGGCUCAACUAUGUUGUUAUUGUUGCCGACACUGACAAGUUUUGCUAUCUGCUUGCCUAUUGAAAGACUAGUGCAAUUUUAUUAGUGAGAAAAAACACAUCACUAGAUUGAUUAAAUCGGUAGAUAGGUAAGCAAACUUCCUGCAUGCAUGACCUUGACGCACACUAAAAGGUUUAAAUUGAUAAAAAAGCGCACGACAAAAAAUAGUCUGCACGCGCCAGCGAAAAAAAAAACCAUGACGUUAAACAGCUGCUGUGGAAUGGCAAAUUAGGAAACUAAAUGAGUGAAUUACUUAGUCUUAAUAUAUUGUAUUUACAUAUAUAUAUUGUAACUUUAUAGCAGUUAAUUUAAUGUGCUUUGAUUAGUACUUCAUGUAAAUUUGCGCACACGAUCUACUUAUAACACACCAAGAACCACGUCAAUUGAACAAUUUCUCUCUUAGUGCGUGUAAAUUUAGAAACGAGUCGAUUUGGUUACCGCUUAUUUUUGUUAACAAGCUCUGAUUCAAUCAGAGAUGUUUUUCUCUGCGACCGGCCUAACGUUAUUAAAUGUGAACUCUUUGAUUUAAUAAAAAUUUUACCCUAAACAUACCUUUGUGAUUUCAAACGUCCGUUGGUUGAUUCGAAAUGUAGUGAAUACCUUGCUGGUACAUUGUGAGAGAGACAUUCUAAUAGAUCUGCAACUAAGGCACACACUUCGACGAAAUUCCACCUUUUCUGUUGAAGCUGUUCUCUACUGGGCCUCAGCCUGACGACUGACGCGUUAAAUUUGAAACAGGUCUACGAGGAGAAUGGGAAUAGGGAAACAUAUUCAUUCACUUCAAUCAUGAGCAUCUGGAACAUUACGUGAAAAAACAGAUUUCACAUACCUACACGGGGGAGUGGAUUCUUAUCUUAUACAACAGUUUGGUGAGCACGAGGAGGAACUGUUCCGCACACUAAUAUCAGCACAAAGAUGACGCGAGAAUCCGUAUUUAGCUUUAAUCGCAAUUCCUUUUGGGUUUACUCGGCUUAGUAUUCACCGUAUUCACACGAAUCCAGCGAAUCACACUACCAAUUUUGCAUA